AAUCUUAUAGUUUAAUAAAAACAUAAAAUUGCAAAUUUUAAGAUGAUUAAUUCUAAGAUUU
rnacentral:tRNA from 1 species